ACAAAUUUGUUCAAGUUGUCCGCCGUAACCCCCCAAACUCACUCGUUCACCCCUGCUCCUCUUGGCCAUGUAUUGUAAAUAAAUGCAAUUUGCUACGCAAAAAAUAAAACUCAAGAAAAGACCUUUUGUGCUUGACUUCUGAAUCUGCCGCAGCUGAGCAAUUAUGUAAUUUUUAAUAGCCGCCAUCGGAGGCCAAAAGCGGUACGCAUUUUACGAUCGUCGAGAGGGGUUACUUGUCAAAGUAUAAUUUAUUAUUGUCAGUUGUUGAAGAGCAACCCUCGCUGGAAAAGUGAUGAAAAGCGAUGUAAAAUUUGUAAAAACAUUUUAUUUUCGUAAUAUAAAAAAGAGGCAAAAGUAUCUGUUACUACAAAGUCAUCAUUGAAGAAAGCUUAAAAGUUUUAUUAGUUAUGUUUCAUUAAAAUUAUAGUUGCUGACGUGCGAAAAACAGUGCUCACAAAACAUCGGCAACAAAAGUGCACGAAAUUAUGGUGGUUGGCGGAGUAUCCGAGUAUCCGACUUCAUCCGGCGUGACGCAUGACGCAUGCAUCGCUCCACGGAUUUGUCCGUACACUCACGUCCAUCGACUAACCCACUUCAGGACUUUUGCCGGCCACAUUUCACCCGCGGCCCACCCUACGUGUUAAUUGUGGCAACUGCUCUGCUGUGACUUCUGUCCAUUCGACUUGGCCACUUGUACGUGGGGCCAGCGGAAAAGCUGCAAAGAAAACUCGGAAAUAAAAUAUGACUG
ensembl:ncRNA lncRNA:CR43913 long non-coding RNA:CR43913